CGGGGAUAAUAUGUUCGUUAUAAUAUCGUAAUUUCCGUUUUUGUCGGAGGACCGUCCGCCUCGGGGACGUUUCGGGGACGCACCGUUCGCAUCUCCCCGGGGCGAUUUGAGACGGAAACGAAAUAAUAAUACGGCCUUAAAUUGGAAAAUCUCGUUGGAACCCCCGAGCCGGCGGACAGUGCUCCGACGGUGCCGAUGAGCGUCGAACAC